GCCUGGGUGGCUCAGUGGGUUAAAGCCUCUGCCUUCAGCUCAGGUCAUGAUCCCAGAGUCUUGGGAUCAAGCCCCAUCUCAGGCU
rnacentral:tRNA from 1 species